UACGUAGGGUGCAAGCGUUAAUCGGAAUUACUGGGCGUGAAGCGUGCGCAGGCGGUGAUGUAAGACAGUUGUGAAAUCCCCGGGCUCAACCUGGGAACUGCAUCUGUGACUGCAUCGCUGGAGUGCGGCAGAGGGGGAUGGAAUUCCGCGUGUAGCAGUGAAAUGCGUAGAUAUGCGGAGGAACACCGAUGGCGAAGGCAAUCCCCUGGGCCUGCACUGACGCUCAUGCACGAAAGCGUGGGGAGCAAACAGG
rnacentral:rRNA from 1 species